GAUGAACGCUAGCGGCAGGCCUAAUACAUGCAAGUCGAGGGGUAAAUAUGUAGCAAUAUAUAUGAGACCGGCGCACGGGUGCGUAACACGUAUGCAACCUACCUUUUACUGGGGCAUAGCUCCGAGAAAUCGGAAUUAAUACCCCAUAACACUGCGGAAUGGCAUCAUUUUGCAGUUAAAGCUCCGGCGGUAAAAGAUGGGCAUGCGGAACAUUAGCUAGUUGGUGAGGUAAUGGCUCACCAAGGCUACGAUGUUUAGGGGGUCUGAGAGGAUGAUCCCCCACACUGGUACUAAGACACGGACCAGAAUCCUACGGGAGGCAGCAGUAGGGAAUAUUGGUCAAUGGACGCAAGUCUGAACCAGCCAUGCCGCGUGCAGGAUGAAUGUCCUAUGGAUUGUAAACUGCUUUUAUAUGGGAAGAAACCCCUGGAUGCGUCCGGGGCUGACGGUACCAUAUGAAUAAGGAUCGGCUAACUUCGUGCCAGCAGCCGCCGUAAGAC
rnacentral:rRNA from 1 species